rfam:Callipepla squamata strain Texas jcf7180005233860, whole genome shotgun sequence.
GCAGGCUCACUCUGUACCGAACUGCACUCUUCAGUUCAGGUGCUUUUUCUGCCUGCGACAGUAACCACUCACGGGCAUGCUGAAUGCCUCCUUCCUCGUGGAAGGCUGUUACAGUUGCUGCUGGGACAUUGCA